GAUGAACGCUGGCGGCGUGCCUAAUACAUGCAAGUCGAGCGAACAGACGAGGAGCUUGCUCCUCUGACGUUAGCGGCGGACGGGUGAGUAACACGUGGAUAACCUACCUAUAAGACUGGGAUAACUUCGGGAAACCGGAGCUAAUACCGGAUAAUAUAUUGAACCGCAUGGUUCAAUAGUGAAAGACGGUUUUGCUGUCACUUAUAGAUGGAUCUGCGCCGCAUUAGCUAGUUGGUAAGGUAACGGCUUACCAAGGCAACGAUGCGUAGCCGAACUGAAAGGGUGAUCGGCGACACUGGAACGGAGACACGGUCCAGACUACUAAGGGAGGCAGCAGUAGGGAAUCUGCCGCAAUGGGCGAAAGCAUGACGGAGCAACGCCGAGUGAGUGAUGAAGGUCUUCGGAUCGUAAAACUCUGUUAUUAGGGAAGAACAAAUGUGUAAGUAAAUAUGCACGUCUUGACGGUACCUAAUCAGAAAGCCACGGCUAACUACGUG
rnacentral:rRNA from 1 species